rnacentral:rRNA from 1 species
GUCCCAAGGGUAUGGCUGUUCGCCAUUUAAAGUGGUACGCGAGCUGGGUUUAGAACGUCGUGAGACAGUUCGGUCCCUAUCUGCCGUGGGCGUUGGAGACUUGAGGGAAGCUGCUCCUAGUACGAGAGGACCGGAGUGGACGUACCUCUGGUGUUCCGGUUGUGAUGCCAAUCGCAUUGCCGGGUAGCUAUGUACGGACGGGAUAACCGCUGAAAGCAUCUAAGCGGGAAGCCUCUCCCAAGAUUAGGUCUCCCUGACUCCUUGAGAGUCCUGAAGGGUCGUUGAAGACUACAACGUUGAUAGGCUGGAUGUGGAAGCUCAGUAAUGGGUGAAGCUAACCAGUACUAAUUGCCCGUGAGUCUUGACCAUAUAACCCCAAA